GUCAAUGUCGAUUCAAUGUCUUUAGUCAAUGUCCAGAAGUGGUUUUUGUUCUGCAUACCUGCCUUUGUAUAUUUAUUUUGCUCCUUUUGGAUUAAAUCUAUUUGAGUUUAUUUACGUCUUGAGUGCUCCCUUCCUGAGAAACCACGAAACGUGACAGCCAUAUACACAAAAAAUAGCCUAAUAAUAAAGAUGCCUUUUUGCCUCUUGCUAGAACACGACUGUCUCUGCAGUCGUUCAACAUGAGGAAGCUCCGAGACACAAACACUCCCAGGAUGAAGAGACUUCCAGCCUUUGACCAUCACAACACCACUGCAGGAGGAUGCUCUGGUGAUGAUGAUGAUGAAGCAAGUCGUGGUGAUGAGCAUUUUGCCCUGCAGUCUCCUGGCAGACCCAGCUCCAUUGAUACAGCCACUACAGAGCCCUGGGUUCGAGCCGAGUCUUCAGACACACUCAGGAGACUAAUGUCCGGCUCUGAGCUUUGAGACGGGUCAUUGCAUACAUAACCGCACUGAGUGUAAAAGCUUGUUAUUGCAGUGCAGUACAUAUUGGGCAUUUUAUGUAGUCUUCAGAACUCUUAAAUAAAAGGCUGAUCAGCAGAAUCUCUAUGAGAUUGACUGUAUCACAAAAUCUGUUCUGUAAA